rnacentral:rRNA from 1 species
UACGUAGGGUGCAAGCGUUAAUCGGAAUUACUGGGCGUAAAGCGUGCGCAGGCGGUUAUGUAAGACAGGUGUGAAAUCCCCGGGCUUAACCUGGGAACUGCAUUUGUGACUGCAUAGCUAGAGUACGGUAGAGGGGGAUGGAAUUCCGCGUGUAGCAGUGAAAUGCGUAGAUAUGCGGAGGAACACCGAUGGCGAAGGCAAUCCCCUGGACCUGGUACUGACGCUCAUGCACGAAAGGCGUGGGGAGCAAACAGG